UACGUAGGUGGCAAGCGUUGUCCGGAAUUAUUGGGCGUAAAGCGCGCGCAGGCGGUCCUUUAAGUCUGAUGUGAAAGCCCACGGCUCAACCGUGGAAGGUCAUUGGAAACUGGGGGACUUGAGUACAGAAGAGGAAAGCGGAAUUCCACGUGUAGCGGUGAAAUGCGUAGAGAUGUGGAGGAACACCAGUGGCGAAGGCGGCUUUCUGGGCCUUACCUGACGCUGAGACGCGAAAGCGUGGGGAGCGAUCCGG
rnacentral:rRNA from 1 species